AACGUAGGACACAAGCGUUAUCCGGAGUUACUGGGCGUAAAGGGCGUGUAGGCGGCCGUGUAAGUCUAUUCUGAAAGCUCCUGGCUAAACUGGGAGAGGCGAAUGGAGACUGCAUAUCUAGAGUGAGGAAGAGGAAAGUGGAAUUCCGCGUGUAGUGGUGAAAUGCGUAGAUAUUGGGAGGAACACCAGUGGCGAAGGCGGCUCACUGGACCGGAACUGACGCUGAGGCGCGAAAGCGUGGGGAGCAAACAGG
rnacentral:rRNA from 1 species